UCAGAAUCAGUAGAAUCUGAAUCAGAGAGGCAGUGAUGAUUUUCAUUCUCCAUUGCAGCUUGAAGAGUCUGCUUGUUAUUGGUAUGAUUCAAUUCCAUAUUGAAGAAACUGUAACACAAAGGGAUUGAAAAUGGGUUGAAACGGAAAGUUAAAAUAAUAAAUGGGAGAUGGAAGUUGAAAGAUAGGUCGCGACGAUAACGAUGGUUUUGGCGGUUUCGUUUUCUACGUCUGAAAUUGGGAAAGCUUGCUCUGUUUAAUACUUAAUACUAAUAUAA
rnacentral:lncRNA from 1 species